CCCUUAGAUGUUCUGGGCUGCACGCGCGCUACACUGAUGCGUUCAACGAGUUUAUGACCUUGCCCGAUAGGGUUGGGUAAUCUUUUUAAAUCGCAUCGUGAUGGGGAUAGAUUAUUGCAAUUAUUAAUCUUCAACGAGGAAUUCCUAGUAAGCGCGAGUCAUCAGCUCGUGCUGAUUACGUCCCUGCCCUUUGUACACACCGCCCGUCGCUCCUACCGAUUGGGUGAUCCGGUGAAUUGCUUGGAACAGCUACGGUGUUCAUUGAACGCUGUGGAGGUGAAAAGUUGUAAACCUUAUCACUUAGAGGAAGGAAAAGUCGUAACA
rnacentral:rRNA from 1 species